UGGUUCCAUGAGAUGGGAGAUUACCCCAGGUAUUGCUGCGUAACAAACUGCCUCAAACAGUGGCUUCUAUCUCUAACAUGGGGGCAAGAUUUGGAACUUGAAGAUGAAUUUUUCUUCCUCAUCAAAAGAAUAUCUAAUACUGCCUUCAAAUUAAUAAAAUUGAGUUUAUUCUA